rnacentral:rRNA from 1 species
CAGUAGCCGCGGGAACACGAAGGGGGCUAGCGUUGUUCGGAAUUACUGGGCGUAAAGCGCACGUAGGCGGACAUUUAAGUCAGGGGUGAAAUCCCGGGGCUCAACCCCGGAACUGCCUUUGAUACUGGGUGUCUAGAGUAUGGAAGAGGUGAGUGGAAUUCCGAGUGUAGAGGUGAAAUUCGUAGAUAUUCGGAGGAACACCAGUGGCGAAGGCGGCUCACUGGUCCAUUACUGACGCUGAGGCGCGAAAGCGUGGGGAGCAAACAGGAUUAGAUACCCCCGUAGUCCCUGUCUCUUAUAC